rnacentral:rRNA from 1 species
UACGUAGGCAGCGAGCGUUGUUCGGAGUUACUGGGCGUAAAGGGUGUGUAGGCGGCUUUUUAAGUUUGGUGUGAAAUCUCCCGGCUUAACCGGGAGGGUGCGCCGAAUACUGAGAGGCUAGAGUGCGGGAGAGGAGAGUGGAAUUCCUGGUGUAGCGGUGAAAUGCGCAGAUAUCGGGAAGAACACCCGUGGCGAAGGCGGCUCUCUGGGACGGUACUGACGCUGAGACGCGAAAGCGUGGGGAGCGAACAGG